CGGGGGCGCUGCCGGGGCCGCGGGUCCCGGAGCGGUGCGCGGAACGGGAGCAGCGCUCGGGCGGGCGCGGAGCGCGGCCGCCGCAUUUCGGCGGAAGGUGCGGGGGAACGGCGAUGCGCCGCCGAGAGCGCGAGGCGGGAAGGGGCGGGAAGGCGCCGAGCUCCACAGCCCGCGGCCCGCAUCGCCGCCUCCCGCGGGGCGCGCGGAGCGCAGUCAGCGCCGGAGCGGAGCGGAUCGGGCGCGCAGCUCCGCAACCCCCCGACCCCGCCAAGGUGGAAGUUUUCAUGGACUCAAUCCCCCGAGUCUUGAAAGAUGCAGAAAUAACAUUGGGUGGCAGAGUGAUGGUGAUGUUGAGUAGCAUUCACUUUGAGAGAACAAAAUGAAAGAGAAACAGAAGUAAAGGCGGAGUCAAUGAAGCUGCCCGUCUAUUUCAGGCACAUCCUACAGACACAAGGGAUAGAAGUCUGCCAACUGGACACAACCAGAAAGGUCAUCAAUGUAGAAGAUCGUUCCUUUUCUCUAUUGAAAAUCUACUUAAGUCCUCAGAGACUCAAGGCAAUGUUCCUGAUAAUUAGUUCUACUGCAUAUGUGCGUUCACCACAUGCGGGUUGUGACAAAGCAGACUCCUUCAAUCAAGACAGAGGGACAAGGUGUAACUUAAAGAGAGGCUGCAGUUCUGUGGUCAGCAGCUGCAGCUGCUGAGGCAGUGAAGAGGAACGUUCAUACAAGGAUGGGGUGCUCCUAUUGAAAAGACAGAAUCAUUUGUAGAAGCUUUGUGGGUGCAGCCACGGGAAAUGCUCAGGGUGUAAACUCAGCAGACAUCUGGUGAUGACAAGCUACCAGGCAGGAACUAAUGACUGGUUUCACAGAAGGGGCUGUUUUGGUUAGAAGCAGUAUCAUUGUUACUCUGCCAAAACCAUGAAUACAGCUCCCAUUUUUGACUAAAAGAGAAAUGACUAAUAGUGAAUUAGAAAAAAAUGGCCAAAUGGUCUUAAAGAAGUCGAUGCUGAGUUGACCAGUGGCUUCAAGAAAACACCUACCAACAGCAAAUCUGCAUCAGUAAUGAAGAAGGAACCAGGGAGGGGGGCUGCUGCUGCUGCAGCGCAAGGUGUGACUGGGAAUCAGUCAGCAGUUGGUGAGCAACUGCAUUGUGCAUCACUUGUUUUGUACCUUCUUCUAUUAUUAUUAUUAUUAUUCCCUUCCUUUUCUACCCUAUUAAACUGUCUUUACCUCAGCCCACGAGGGUUAGCUUUUUUCCAGUUCUCUCUCCCAUCCUACUGAGGGGGAGGGAACGAAGGGCUGCGUGGUGCUUGCUGCCUGAAGUGCUGCCUGACAGGUUAAACACAAAAAUGAAGGAUGGUGAAACUUCAAGAUAUUGAUUCACUAAUUUUAAUUACAUCGUUACUCCUUCAGAACUACAAUGUUCCUACUUCUUGCAUACACAACAAAUACUAAGGUAUAAGGCAAAGGACAGCUUGUUUGGAAACAAGUGGUUUGUAACAUCAUAGCUUUAGGACAUGUAGUUUAAGAUAAAAGUAGUUUCAAAGUGGAAGCAACAGAAUUCACUGAAAAAUAAACUACAGUUUCUGCAUAGCACAGAGCCAGACAGGCUCUCAUGUACCACUUUGCAGGUAGAACAGCUUUUAUAAGGACUUGACUUACUGAAGCUGCAAGACUGGGAAGAUAUUUAGGGCUCCUUCUGCUAAGGAUUAGAGGGAGAAAAAAGUUUUGUUUCUGCGUAAGUAUAAAGCAGCUCAGUCUGAAUGAAGAAAGCACACUGUCCAAUAGAACAAAUAAGC
rnacentral:lncRNA from 1 species